rnacentral:rRNA from 1 species
UACGGAGGGGCUAGCGUUGUUCGGAAUUACUGGGCGUAAAGCGCACGUAGGCGGCUUUGUAAGUCAGAGGUGAAAUCCCGGGGCUCAACUCCGGAACUGCCUUUGAUACUGAGAAGCUUGAGUCCGGGAGAGGUGAGUGGAACUGCGAGUGUAGAGGUGAAAUUCGUAGAUAUUCGCAAGAACACCAGUGGCGAAGGCCGGCCCCUGGGCCGUACCUGACGCUGAGGCGGCGAAAGGCUGAGG